UACGUAGGGCGCAAGCGUUAUCCGGAAUUAUUGGGCGUAAAGAGCUCGUAGGCGGUUUGUCGCGUCUGCCGUGAAAGUCCGGGGCUCAACUCCGGAUCUGCGGUGGGUACGGGCAGACUAGAGUGAUGUAGGGGAGACUGGAAUUCCUGGUGUAGCGGUGAAAUGCGUAGAGAUCCGGAGGAACACCGACGGCGCAGGCAGCGUCCUGGCCGCUUGCUGACACUGGAGGCACGAAAGCUGGGGGAGCAAACAGG
rnacentral:rRNA from 1 species